GAUGGUUCUCAUUCAGGUAGCCCGGCACACAGGUGCAAACCAUCAUUUCUUGGCGUCUCACUAGUAGGGAGAAGGGCUUCGGGCCAUGGGAAGGCACGGUGUCCCCUUCAGCACAGGGUCUCUGCUGACAGUCAGGUCUGUCAGGAGUGAUAAGUGACCCCUUUCCACGGUGGAAUCUGAGACUUGCUGGCCCUGGAGCCCCCCAAAAGCCACAAGGCAGAGGCCCAAAGCUUCUGACUGUCUUCUCAUGUCUAUUUUUGUGGGUCCCAGAGGCCUUGGAGACACGGUGUGGAAGCCACUCACUUGUAUGGUCAGGACUAGUGAACCUGCAGCCUGUAGGAAGAAAUCCUAUGAGCUCAAGAGGCACUUGGGACAAUCCUUGAGGACAGUGAAGCAGACCAGACCCCUGUCCUGAGGGAGUUUAUGUUCUGGGAGCAAAUGGCAAG